rnacentral:rRNA from 1 species
UACGUAGGGUGCAAGCGUUGUCCGGAUUUAUUGGGCGUAAAGAGCUCGUAGGCGGUCUGUCGCGUCGGAUGUGAAAACCCAGGGCUCAACCCUGGGCCUGCAUUCGAUACGGGCGGACUAGAGUACGGCAGGGGAGACUGGAAUUCCUGGUGUAGCGGUGAAAUGCGCAGAUAUCAGGAGGAACACCGGUGGCGAAGGCGGGUCUCUGGGCCGUAACUGACGCUGAGGAGCGAAAGCGUGGGGAGCGAACAGG